UCCUUUCCCUGCAUCUAAUAUUUAUGAGUUCUCAAGGAAAUUAGGGGUUUUAAAUGGGUUUACUUUGAAUUGUGUUUUCUGUACUCAAUGCUAUAUUAUUCCUUUUUGUUCUAUGUAAAUUCUUAGCUUGUAGUGACAUUGAAAAUGCAGAACGACCUAAAAGACGUCUUCCAACUUGAUUUUUCCUGAUAUCUGUAAUUUUUAGAGGCGGUUUGUUUCGCUUGUUUCCUUUUUUCAUUGGUUCAACUAUUUCAAAUGUGUAAAAUACAUGUAUAAUGUUGUGUUGUAUCUGAAGGACCAUAAAACAAAGUUAUUCUUAGCAUUUUUUUCAAUUAGGAGAAAGUAUCACAAUAUUGACUCCAAUUACAACACUUGUGCAGCUGUUGUUUACUGUUACACUAUGUGGUUUCUGUAGAAUUAACCUUCCUUUGCUGCAAAUUACUUUCCAAGAAUUUAUGAUUUUAGUUUUAUUUUGAUAGAAUUAGCUUCCUUUUUGAGGUACCUCUAUUAUCUCAGAAAGUUGUUUAUAGUAAGUGUCAAUUUAUGCUUACUACGAUUAGGUGUUCAUUCAAGUUUUUGCUUGGAUUUUUGUAGUUUUUCAUAGAUUAAUAUCUUACUCCUUGUAUGUUUUUUCUUCACUAUUUGUUGUAAAGAGUGGAUGAAUAAUCUGAAGAGUGGAUAUAUUGGUAGAAAAAAAUACCUUUUGGUGAAGUCAUAUUGUAGUUGGGUAGUGAUUUCAAGGUUACAAAGGAUGUUUUAUAGUCUUUUUUUGAAAGCUUUUAUGUUUUUAAGUGCAAGUUAUAUAUUAAUUUUGAGAUUUAUAGAAGAGAAAUGCAAACUUUUAUAUUAUAACAUUCUGAUGUUGGAAGUUUAGUUAGGAAGUGAUUUGAAUCUAUAAAAUGAGUACUUUAUGAUCAUUUUCUUUUUAUGCAUACUGAUUUAGAUUUCCAUGAAGCAUAAAUAAAGUAUGCAUACACUCUUUUCCUAGAUCCCUCUUUAUGGGAUUACACUUGAUGGUGUUGGGAUCUUGGUGCACGCUGCAGAGUAGUAGUAGUAAUAGCAGCAACAGCUACACUUGUGACCCUUGCAAUUGCUAAAUUACUAAUUUCACACUAAUAAAUAAUGUGUGUUGUUAUAAAAUCUUUUUGUAAUAAUAAAAUACAGCCAUGGAUCACAUGAUGAUCAAUUUUUAGGUUUGUGCUUUUCUUUUAUGUUUAUUUGAUCUCUAUCUAAUAUAUUUCUGUAAGUGUGAUUUGAAUUUGGGGUGUAACAGAAAUAUAUUAUCAUAUAUACAAUUAUAUAAGUAUGUUUAUUCCUUCCUUCUUUUAGAGAUCUCUUUGUGACUUAUAGUUUUUUUUGGUUAAGUUUUUGAAAGGUCAAAAGUACUUUUAGCUUUUAUACACUGUGUUCUAGCUUUUCUAAUAUGAUGCCUUCACUGUGAUUAACAAUAAGUCACAAUAUGAAAUGUUGUAUGAUCAUAGACGUUCCAUCAAUCACAAUAUAAAAAUGUUGCCAUUUUUAGUAAGAAAAAAGAGAAAAUGGAAGAUUGAGUUAUAUUUUAUUAUGGAAUCUUUUAUUUAUAGGGUUCAUGUGCUAAUGCUGGUGGGGCUAGAGUGUUUUUUUUUAAUUUUUUUUGUAAGGGAUAAGAAAAUAGUUUUCUAUUCCUUAAUCACUUCUUCUUUCUUAUAUAAUAGAGUCGUUCUGUAAUUCUAUUACUUUGAAAUUUUACAUUUGAUAAAGUUUUCAACUUAGCUGUCAACUACUUUUUGAUGGUAUGUCUAAUGAAUAUCUUGCAUUUGCGAAUUCAGUGUUACUUAAGCUAUAUAAUUGUAGGUUCUAAUUCUUUUAUGAUUGGAAAAAAAAUAAUUUAUUGCUAUUGUGCAGCUAUGCCAAAGGUUAAGCGCUUUCGUAAUUUAUUAGUUCAUGCAUCACAUGAUGUUAAUGAAAAUUCUUCAUCAUUAACUAGUCCAGCUCAAUCAAAUGCCAUUGGGCCUUCAACAUCAGCACAAUCCUUCCCACAUGAUGCAUCAAAUUCCUUGCCAUUUGAUGAAAUCCAACAAGAACAAGCUCCAACUCAACCUUCUAAUUCACGUGCAACAUCUCAAUCUAUAUCAAAUUGGAGAGUAGAGACGAUUGAUACAUGCCUUACAUGUACUUUACUUGAUCAUGACUACUUUCAUUUUUUUUUAUUAACUUAUUUUCUUAUUAAAGAUUUUAAAAAAAAUAUCAAGACUAUUAAGCUCGAGGUACACGAUGUCAACAAUCUACCUUUAAGGGAACAUAUUAUUGUGGACUUCGAUAAAUAUGGAGCGGCAAUUGGGGCAGCAGAAGGGUUACUUGCAGGAUAUUGUGGAACAUUGGCAACUGAUUGCAAUUAGUUUUGAUAAGUGGUCAGGACCAUCAGGUGUUCCUCAAAAGUACAAAAAAGACUGCUUUGAAACAAUUCUAAAGCCUCGAUUUUAUUUUAGGACUACGGAAAUCUUUGCAUA